rnacentral:misc_RNA from 1 species
CGUGAUGCUCAGAGUAUCUCUGGUUGUAUACUGAGAUCGGUGUGUGUUCGAAUUAACCGACGCCCAGCUAAACCAAAACUUUACAAUUUUCGCUCCGAUUUAAAGUACUGCUUGUGUGUUGUGGACUAAAGCCAUCUCGUUGCUCGUACACGGGCUCGAGCGAAGCAAGGAGGCGUUUUUAAUCGUUGGUGGAAGCCAACGAUCAAGAAGGGACGAUAUUAUACUGGCCGCAUAAACACAUGAAAAUAUGCCCUUCGCUGGCUGCUGUGAGAGUGAAGAAGUUAAGGAACAGCGGCGAAUCAACGAUGAAAUCGAGCGAAUGCUUAGAAAGGAUAAAAAGGACUCAAGAAGAGAGUUAAAACUCUUGCUUUUGGGUACUGGGGAAUCGGGCAAGAGUACUUUUAUCAAACAAAUGAGAAUUAUUCACGGUCAGGGAUACACUGAGGAUGAUCGAAGAGGUUAUAUCAAACUCGUAUAUCAAAAUAUUUUUAUGGCUAUACACAGUUUGACAAGGGCAAUGGAAACGCUGAGAAUUCCGUAUGCAACCCCUUCCAACGAGGAUUUCGUGUCAAUCGUUCGUAGUGUCGAUCCUGACGCGGUAACCUCGUUCCGAAAAGAAUAUUAUGAUGCAGUAAAAAAUCUAUGGAACGACAGUGGGAUUCAAGAAUGCUAUGACAGACGGCGAGAAUUUCAAUUGAGCGACUCGUGCAAAUACUAUCUCAGUGAUUUGGACAGAAUCGCAGCCGCGAGUUACCUUCCAACAGAACAGGACGUUUUACGGGCCCGGGCGCCAACGACAGGCAUCAUAGAAUACCCUUUCGAUUUGGACACCAUCAUAUUUCGAAUGGUAGACGUUGGUGGACAAAGGUCUGAAAGGCGAAAAUGGAUCCACUGUUUUGAGAAUGUAACUUCAAUCAUGUUCCUUGUCGCCUUAAGCGAAUAUGAUCAGGUUUUGGUAGAAUCAGACAGUGAGAAUCGAAUGGAAGAAAGCAAAGCCUUGUUCAGAACGAUAAUUACUUAUCCAUGGUUUCAAAAUUCUUCCAUUAUAUUGUUUCUCAACAAAAAGGAUUUACUGGAAGAAAAAAUUAUGUAUUCCCAUUUAGCUGAUUAUUUUCCUGAUUUUGAAGGUGAGCCUAGAGACGCAGCUGCUGCUCGCGAGUUCGUAUUAAAGAUGUUCGUGAACUUAAAUCCGGACCCAGAAAAGCCAAUUUACUCGCAUUUUACAUGCGCGACCGACACGGAGAAUAUAAAGUUUGUUUUUGCCGCCGUUAAAGACAGUAUCUUACAGCAGCAUCUCAAAGACUAUAAUCUCGUGUAACACGUUUGCUCACGCACGAAUUGUAACAUAAUUGAAGCACCAACGUUGUUGAUGACUCGUGCACAGGCCCUACUCGUCCAACUAGGGUUGUUGGCCAGAUUCCUGCUGUAACUCCUGCUGGGGUUAUAGACGGAUCCGGCGUUACUUUUACGUCUGUCAACCGUUAAAAUCUUUGUCUGAUCAUUUGAAUGCCUAUUUAUUAUUAUAGUCAAAUUAUCAGACGAAUAGGGGGUGGUUGUAUGAAUGUCUUAAUCAGAAGUUGGGUAUAUUUAAAUCGUAGUUAACUUCGAAACGAACUAUUCUGAUUCUCUAAUUCUGUUACUAACCGUAUAGUUGAGAUUUAACUAGCCUUUUUACAACCACUCCUUGGAUAUAUUUUUGUCUCGGCUCGUUUUUCACUAUUGGCUCGUCGGGCGACAUAGGAAAGCAUUUCGGCCAAAUGUAAUCUUCAGAAAUAUUUGACUUGCCAAGUGCGCGAAUGUUCCCAGUAGCGGAUUUGGUACUCUGAGUGAAAAACGGGCUUCAAAAACAACUCCAAAUUCUCUGGAUUUUUCUGGCAUGAGUUGCGGCUUGAAUAACGCGAUUUUAUCCAAAUUGAGAUUAUAUUUUAUUCACUAAUAUCAUUCACUAAAUCCUACAAUCGCGUGCACUACAAUCUUGACGAAUUUAAUUUUUUUAAAAUUUAGAGAAUUUUUUUCAAGAUUUCAGCUCCAGCUAUUGUAACUGAUCUAGUGAAAAUCGUGAAUUUAUUUUGGUACGCAUGGCAUUGUGGGAUUUAGUGAAAAUAGUAAAUACAGAAGUAUAAUUUAAUUAGCCUCGGCUAGGCGUUAAUUUUGGCACAAAUUUAUUUACUUUUGUAAUUCACAUUUCGUUGUUUAAAAUACACGAAUUCUUUUGUUCAAAUAUUUGGAACACCAGAAAUUU